rnacentral:rRNA from 1 species
CUGGCGGGAGCGGGUGGUCCGGCACUUUGUGUUGGUACUUUCCUGUCUCUUGCCAUCCUUGGGUCUAAGCUGUCUGGCAUUUAGUUGUCGGGCAGUGGCUGCCCAUCGUUUACUGUGAAAAAAUUAGAGUGUUCAAAGCAGGCUUAUGCCGUUGAAUAUAUUAGCAUGGAAUAAUAAGAUAGGACCUUGGUACUAUUUUGUUGGUUUGCGCACCGAGGUAAUGAUUAAGAGGGACAGUUGGGGGUAUUCGUAUUCAAUUGUCAGAGGUGAAAUUCUUGGAUUUCUGGAAGACGAACUACUGCGAAAGCAUUUACCAAGGAUGUUUUCAUUAAUCAAGAACGAAAGUUAGGGGAUCGAAGAUGAUUAGAUACCAUCGUAGUCUUAACCAUAAACUAUGCCGACUAGGGAUUUGUGGGUGUUAUUUUUGACCCCAUGAGCACCUUAUGAGAAAUCAAAGUCUUUGGGUUCCGGGGGGAGUAUGGUCGCAAGUCUGAAACUUAAAGAAAUUGACGGAAGGGCACCACCAGGAGUGGAGCCUGCGGCUUAAUUUGACUCA